rnacentral:rRNA from 1 species
CUGAUGGACGAAAGCGUGGGGAGCGAACAGGAUUAGAUACCCUGGUAGUCCACGCCGUAAACGAUGCUAACUCGUUUUUGGGACUUCGGUUUCAGAGACUAAGCGAAAGUGAUAAGUUAGCCACCUGGGGAGUACGUUCGCAAGAAUGAAACUCAAAGGAAUUGACGGGGGCCCGCACAAGCGGUGGAUUAUGUGGUUUAAUUCGAUGAUACGCGAGGAACCUUACCAAGGCUUAAAUGGGAAUUGAUUGGUUUAGAAAUAGAUCGUCCUUCGGGCAAUUUUCAAGGUGCUGCAUGGUUGUCGUCAGCUCGUGCCGUGAGGUGUUAGGUUAAGUCCUGCAACGAGCGCAACCCCUGUCACUAGUUGCCAUCAUUAAGUUGGGGACUCUAGUGAGACUGCCUACGCAAGUAGAGAGGAAGGUGGGGAUGACGUCAAAUCAUCACGGCCCUUACGCCUUGGGCCACACACGUAAUACAAUGGCCGGUACAGAGGGCAGCUACACAGCGAUGUGAUGCGAAUCUCGAAAGCCGGUCUCAGUUCGGAUUGGAGUCUGCAACUCGACUCUAUGAAGCUGGAAUCGCUAGUAAUCGCGCAUCAGCCAUGGCGCGGUGAAUACGUUCCCGGGCCUUGUACACACCGGCCGUCAAUCAC